rnacentral:rRNA from 1 species
AACGAACGCUGGCGGCAUGCCUAACACAUGCAAGUCGAACGGGAUCCAGGCUUCGGCCUGGUGAGAGUGGCGGACGGGUGAGUAACACGUGGGAACCUGCCUUUUGGUUCGGGAUAACCGCGGGAAACUGCGGCUAAUACCGGAUGCUCCCGAGAGGGGAAAGAUUUAUCGCCAGAAGAGGGGCCCGCGUCCGAUUAGGUAGUUGGUGAGGUAAUGGCUCACCAAGCCGACGAUCGGUAGCUGGUCUGAGAGGAUGAUCAGCCACACUGGGACUGAGAUACGGCCCAGACUCCUACGGGAGGCAGCAGUGGGGAAUAUUGGACAAUGGGGGCAACCCUGAUCCAGCAAUGCCGCGUGGUGAUGAAGGCCUUAGGGUUGUAAAGCUCUUUUGCCAGGGAAGAUGAUGACUGUACCUGGAGAAUAAGCCCCGGCUAACUUCGUGCCAGCAGCCGCGGUAAU